GUGCCAGCAGCCGCGGUAAUACGGAGUGUGCGAGCGUUACUCGGAAUCACUGGGCAUAAAGAGCACGUAGGCGGGGAUGCAUGUCCGUGGUGAAAUCCCCCAGCUCAACUGGGGAACUGCCGCGGAAACUGUAUCUCUUGAGGACGAGAGGGGAGAGUGGAACUUCUGGUGGAGCGGUGAAAUGCGUAGAUAUCAGAAGGAACACCGGUGGCGAAAGCGACUCUCUGGCUCGUUUCUGACGCUGAGGUGCGAAAGCUUGGGUAGCAAACAGGAUUAGAAACCCUCGUAGUCC
rnacentral:rRNA from 1 species